ensembl:lncRNA
AGAUAGGAUAUUAUUCAUGAUUGCAAUCAUAACAUACCACAGAUAUUUCUUGGAAAGGAAACUAUGAUUUCAAAGACCUCACACAAAUCACAUGUUCCAGUGGCUUUUUUGCAAGCAUCUCCUAACAGUCUUCAAACUCAAUUCAGGUUAGUGCAGAGAUGGAAGAGAUUUGAUGGACACAAAGUAAUUCCUCAAAGGACUGAGUAUGAAAUUUCAAAGGGAGCAUUAUUCUCCCCAGUCUUUAUAAGGGAUGUUGCCAUGGGUUCAUACACCACAGGUGAUACUGACACCAUGAGUACUACCAAGAUAUUCCUCCUUCUUUUCUCAGUGGCCAUAUUGGCCCUGAGCUCAGCUCAAACUGAAAAUUCGGCUGAAAGCCAAGCACCACAGCAAUCUGCAGAACCAGCUCCACCUCCCGAACCAGCUCCAGCUCCAGCUCCUGGUAAGUAG